AUUGAACGCUGUCGUCAGGCUUAACCCAUGCAAGUCGAGCGAGCGGCGGUCGGGUGAGUAAUGCCUGGCACACUGCCUGAUGUGGGGGAAUAAUUCCUGUAAACGGUAACUAAUACCUCAUACCCUCGGUUGGGCCCACAUGGGAUUGGCUCGUGGGUGGGGUAAUGGCCCACCUAGGCGACGAUCCCUAACUGGUCUGAGAGGAUGAACAGCCACACUGGAACUGAGACACGGUCCAGACUCCUACGGGAGGCAGCAGUGGGGAAUAUUGCACAAUGGGCGCAAGCCUGAUGCAGCCAUGCCGCGUGUGUGAAGAAGGCCUUCGGGUUGUAAAGCACUUUCAGCGAGGAGGCGUUACUCGCAGAAGAAGCACCGGCUAACUCCGUGCCAGCAGCCGCGGUAAUAC
rnacentral:rRNA from 1 species